UACGAAGGGGGGCUAGCGUUGCUCGGAAUUACUGGGCGUAAAGGGCGCGUAGGCGGAUAUCUAAGUUGGGGGUGAAAUCCCGGGGGCUCAACCUCGGAAUUGCCUUCAAAAACUGGAUAUCUUGAGUUCGGGAGAGGUGAGUGGAACUCCGAGUGUAGAGGUGAAAUUCGUAGAUAUUCGGAAGAACACCAGUGGCGAAGGCGACUCACUGGCCCGAUACUGACGCUGAGGCGCGAAAGCGUGGGGAGCAAACAGG
rnacentral:rRNA from 1 species